rnacentral:rRNA from 1 species
GACAGAGGAUGCAAGCGUUAUCCGGAAUGAUUGGGCGUAAAGCGUCUGUAGGUGGCUUUUAAGUCUGCCGUCAAAUCCCAGGCUUAACCCUGGACAGGCGGUGGAAACUACCAAGCUGGAGUACGGUGAGGGCAGAGGGAAUUUCCGGUGGAGCGGUGAAAUGCGUAGAGAUCGGAAAGAACACCAACGGCGAAGGCACUCUACUGGGCCAUGACUGACACUAAGAGACGAAAGCUAGGGAGCAAAUGGG